CCUCUCUCAGGAUCGCACCUGGAGAGUUUCCAGUACUUUACCAGUCUUGGCUACAGGAGGGAGAGUCAAGCAGAGGCCUACCCCUCCCAUUCCUAGCUUGGCUGGUGGCUAGCGAGUGGAAGGCAAUCGGCUACAAGU